rnacentral:rRNA from 1 species
GACGAACGCUGGCGGCGUGCUUAAUACAUGCAAGUCGAACGGAAAGACCCGGAUCUUGCUGGGUGCUCGAUAGCGGAGCGGGGGUGUAAAACAUGUGUAAACUGCCCUUGACAUUCGGAUAACUCCACGAGACAGGGGCGCAUAUCGGGUAUGAGAUCCUGCUCCGUGGGGGGGAAUGGUAAGAUUCGGCGGUUUUGGAUGGUAUGGCGGCUUAUCCGCUUGCUGGUGGAGUAGUGGCUUACCAAGGCUUCGACGGGUAGCCGGCCUGAGAGCGUGAACGGCCACCUUGCUACUGCGAGACGGCCCAGACUCCUACGUGAGGCAGCAGUGGAGAGUAUUGCACAAUGGGCGGAAGUCUGAUGCGGCAACGCUGCGUUCGUGAUGAUGUCUUUCGGGUGGUAAACCGCUUUCUCCUGUGCUGAAGCCGUAGUGACGGUACUGGGUAAAGAAGCACCGGCUAACUACGUG